rnacentral:rRNA from 1 species
UACAGAGGGUGCGAGCGUUGUCCGGAAUCACUGGGCGUAAAGGGCGCGUAGGCGGCUUGAUAAGCGUGCGGUGAAAGCCCGGGGCUCAACCCCGAGUCGGCCGUGCGAACUGUCGAGCUGGAGCACUGUAGAGGCAGGUGGAAUUCCGGGUGUAGCGGUGGAAUGCGUAGAGAUCCGGAAGAACACCGGUGGCGAAGGCGGCCUGCUGGGCAGUGGCUGACGCUGAGGCGCGACAGCGUGGGGAGCAAACAGG